rnacentral:rRNA from 1 species
ACGCUCGACACCUACGGGAGGUAGCAGUGGGGAAUAUUGCACAAUGGGGGAAACCCUGAUGCAGCGACGCCGCGUGAAGGAAGAAGUAUUUCGGUAUGUAAACUUCUAUCAGCAGGGAAGAAAAUGACGGUACCUGACUAAGAAGCCCCGGCUAACUACGUGUCAGCAGCCGCGGUAAUCUGAGCGGGCUGGCAAGGC